AAUGAAAAAUGGAGGAUUGUCAAGAACGUUUAUAAAUACCGCUUUUUCAUUUGUUUUGAACGUUUAUUUUUAUUAUAUUAACAUGCGCAUGCGUGUAUAUAAUGUCUACAAAUUUCGUACAUCUGCCACACAAAGUACACAAUAAAUAAAAAUUAUUUUUUUCAGUUCUAUGAAUUCCGUCCGCAUCGUGUCGUCAAUUUAAUAAUUAUCGGCGAUUAUAGAGUGGUCUCAAUAGGAUAUUUAGAUAAACAGACCACGGACGUUACUGGAGUUUCCAAUACAGGCAUUUAUUUCUUAUCUGUCAGAGGCUGAAAUAUGUCGAACUUUGUCAAAUUCACACCUCUUAGGUCUACUACAGAUUGUACUUUUUGGGCUAAAUUUGCAGAACUGAAAAUAGAUAAAUUCAAAUUGGAUGAAAAAUCAGUAAUUAAUUUAUGGGGAAUGUACAAUCUCGAAUCUCUACAAGAAGAGAAUAAUAAUCCAUUAGUAAUGGAUUGCACAUCAUUCAAUGAAGAUACGGAAACAUUUAAUCAUAAUUCAUCUGUAGUUUGUUCGGGGCACAUGAUUAAUACCAAUACUUUUGAAUCAUUUCGAAAGAUAGAUCCUGAGAAACUUAUUGAUACUGUUGGAAAGGAUUUAAUUAUUAGUAUUCAAGAUGGAUCAGUAUUACAGAAACCAUGGAAAUUGUCACUAUUUUUAAUUGUGGCUUAUUCAGAUUUAAAAAAGUAUAGAUUUCAUUAUUGGGUUGCGCAUCCUACUCCUUCAAAAUUGCCUGAAAUGUAUUAUCAGGGGAAUCCAAAACUAGUUGAUGAAGAAUUCCCGAAUACUUUUGAUAAUCUAUGUAAAGGCUUUUCUCAAUUGGAUAGCAGAUCUAAAAAUUAUUUUUCUGUCUUAAUAUCUAAGGAAGGUGACAUGAGUAUUGUUGACUUAGCAACAGGAGUUAAUACUAUUAUGACAAAUGCAGCUGAUUCAAAAGGAUUGCAGGAUAACAGCGAAGUUUACUUUGCAUUUUAUGAUCCUUGUACAAGUAUUCAACCUGGGUGGCCAUUACGCAAUUUGCUGUGUCUAUUGUUCUGGCACUGUCCUACAUAUUGCUUCACAAAAAUUAUUAAAAUUAUAUCUGUACGAGGAAAUAAAGCACACAAAAGUAUUGUUUUCAAAUUAAAAACUAAGGAAUAUGAUGAUUCCAAAGCAUUUAGAGAAACUAUAUUUGAUUGUCCUUUGGUUGGCUGGGAGAGAAACGCAGCUGGUAAAAUGGGCCCUACUAUAAUUGAUUUAUCACAUUACAUGGAUCCAGCCAAAUUGUUGGAUAGAGCUAUUAACCUGAACUUGAAAUUAAUGAAAUGGCGUCUGGUCCCAGAUUUAGAUUUAGAAAAGGUUAGUAAUCUUAGAUGCCUUCUAUUGGGUGCUGGCACUUUGGGUUGUGCUGUAGCAAGAGUACUUCUUGGAUGGGGAGUGAACAACAUAACUUUUGUUGAUAGCUCCAAUGUUUCUCAUAGUAACACUGUGAGACAAAGUUUAUAUAAUCAUGAAGAUGCUGUGAAACAUAAGUACAAGGCUCAUGCAGCUAGAGACGCACUGCUUAGUAUCAGACCAACUAUGAACGCAAAUGGCGUGGUCCUACACAUCCCAAUGCCUGGACACGUUGUUGGUCAAAGUAUGAUGGCGUCUACAAAAAAAUCACUGGAACAAUUAGAGGAUCUUGUCGAGAAGAACGACGUAGUUUUUCUUUUAUUGGAUUCCCGUGAAGCCAGGUGGUUACCCACUGUUCUAUGCGCAGCGAUGAACAAAAUCGCUAUCAACGCAGCUUUAGGCUUCGACUCGUAUACAGUGCAGAGGCACGGUACACGCGAUCUUUCAGUUCCGUUUUCUCCAGAUUUGGAUAUAAAGAAUCCUUGUGGUGUAGAUUUGGGUUGUUACUUUUGUAACGACGUAACACAGCCAGGAAAUUCACAAACUGAUAGAACAUUGGACCAACAAUGCACCGUUAGUAGGCCAGGUUUAUCACAAAUGGCUGCAGGAUUAGCUGUUGAAUUACUGGUAGCCAUAACACAACAUCCUCAGGGCAUCGAAGCUAGAGCAUUAGUGGGUAAUAACAGGGACAGUAUUAGUCAAAACGAUACUGAAUUAGUUGGACUGUUAGGAUGUGUGCCGCAUACGAUACGCGGGUCUCUCUGGAAUUAUGAUAUGCAGUUGACAAUUACGCAUAGGUUCACUGCCUGCACAGCGUGUUCUGUGCCUGUUAUCACGGAAUAUAAAAACCGUGGUUUAUCGUUUGUAUUGGAUGCGUGCAAUGUGCCGAAUUACUUAGAAAAUUUGUCUGGAUUGGAACAGAUAUUGAAAAGAUCCGAUAUAGAGGAUCUUUGCUAUGCGUUGGAUAACAUAAGCGACGACGAAGAAGAUCAAAAAAGUGAUAUGCCUUGAAAACUCAUCACACGUGUACACAUUUUACCUUGGACGAAGAUGCGUUGUUACAUGUACAUAGAUUAAGAUCGCGCUGCAACGGGCAAAUACCAUACAUUCCAUUGUAAUGUUGAAGUAGUGGGGAAGCGAGGCUGUCUCUCGUAUGUCAAGCAGCCUGUGUUCCGUGUGUCCGCCCGCAUACCAUUAGAUUUUCAUCAUUUUCAAUGAAAAUACGUGCCGUGUGUUAAUUCGACAUGCCAUCGUACGUCGUGCCGAAUGUUUGAUCGCAGUUUCGCGCGGGUGUCAUCGCGUAACGUUCGCAAAUAACGUGGAAGGGUUGCGUUUGUGGACUUUCCAUUUUACGAAGAGCAAAGAGGAAUGCGAGAGUAUCGAGAGAUAGGGUAAUUCCUGGAAAGAAUGUCAAUUUCGAGAGGCCAUUGUUUAUAUCGUUCGAAUGAAAUUGCGAUGCCGUACGACGCCGGUUGCGUGGAAGUUUGGAAAGAGAGCAGGGGGCGUGAUACGGGAGUGAGAAGAGAAACAGUGGCUAGUGAUGGACUCAAGAAGUUGUAGAAUUCAUGUUUCAUAGCAGGAAUGUGCAGCAAUGUCCCAAUAUCGAGAACCCUGAAGUAUUCAUCUGAAGUCUCCAUAAGCUUUCCAUAAGGAUAUGAUCACCUGCUUCCUAUCAACAAAUCCAGCAAAUCCUCAACAUCCAUCAAAUUCGUCAUCAGUUUGAAAUUUGAAAGAAGUGGACCGUUUCAGAAUUAGAAGCAAUGCAAGACUUCCAGAAAUGACCUACUUUUGAAGUCCUCACUUUACAUCCGACAAAGAGCCAUUUCGUGUUAAAGACUGUUCUCAUCUAACGUUCGAAACUGUUCAAAAUCCGAUUCGUGUAGCGUGUCGAGUCUAUCGCUAGUCCAGCGCGCUAACGCGGAUUCCUACGUCGGUGCCGGGCUUCCAGCGGUUGCUCGUGGACGAGCACCUACAUCGGGCCGUCCUUCUAUUAACGAACUCGUCA
rnacentral:misc_RNA from 1 species